CUGGGACUCAGGUUGAGCGCUUCGGCGCUCGCCCCCACCCCUUGCUUAGCCUCGAGAAAAUACAAACCCGUCGGCUUCAGGCGCGCCCGCUUGACAGCGAGGUGCGCCGGCCGGACAUCAAACCCUGAACAACAUUGCAGCCUGAAGUGAAAAGCAAAUAGUUA
rnacentral:misc_RNA from 1 species